AUUUAUAUAGUUUAUAAUAAAACAUUACAUUUUCACUGUAAAAAUAAAAAUUAUUUUUAUAAAUA
rnacentral:tRNA from 1 species